rnacentral:tRNA from 1 species
GCGGAUGUGGCGGAACUGGUAGACGCGCUGGUCUUAGGAACCAGUGCCUGUGCGUGGGGGUUCGAGUCCCUUCAUCCGCACCA